CCGGCCAUAGGAACUUCUAGGACAAUCUGCAGGACCAAAUCAAGGAGUCUCGGAACUUCGAGGAGCUGCUCAACCACCCGAUCCGACUCAAAACAAGACCGAAUCAAGCCACCGGCUAAAAGUCAGUGAUGAUCUGAUCGAGGGAAAGCCAUUCGAUCGAGAUGUUGGAAAAUCCUCCUGGUCAAGGCUCUGUUACGAUGAUACUUAGGAUAGGGGGAAGGAUCUAAUUAGUGGUGGUGCGGUCACUGGUGGGGGUUGGAACCGACCGGCAAACAGCUCACCGGAGGGAGCUCUAGCCAAACCAAGAGAGGAAUGAGAAGGCAAUUAGAAAAG
rnacentral:lncRNA from 1 species